AACCAAGUCACUGAUAUGAAAUACAAGAAUCAACCAACCAGGUCAACAGAUACGCACGUAGAUAGAACCACUCUACUCCUACUCAGGAUACUAAGCAUGCAAACAACGAGUAGAGUAUAAUGGAAUAACAUGGGCGCAAGUCUCAAUAUAUACUAUGCAAUAAUAACAACAGAAGAGUAAGGGUAAGAAACCAUCACCAAGUAUACACCACUGUACCACGUCGGAUCGAAGUACCCACCUGUAAGGAUGUCGCGUCUGUCUCCUGACUGCAAAAGAAUAUCGAUAGGACCUAUAGAGGGUCCACCGGGUUAGUAUCUAAUCCACAACUAAUAACCACAGUAUCCACAACCCCACAACAAUUUCACGAAGAUCGGUUUUCCAAUACCGAUUACCGAACACGUCGGAAGAAUUCCGAACCGAACCCUCAUUCCGUCGGCAGUUUUCGCCGAACGACGCUCCGAAAAUCACGAUUUGAUUUCCGCAAGAGCUUGGGGCCUUGGACGAUUAGUCCAGAGGUUGUCCUCAGCCCUAACCUGCUGCCAACAACAGCUACGUCAAAGCGAACGGCAUACAAGUCCCUAACGACACAUGAAAUCACAUCAUUUUAUGUGAUUUCAU
rnacentral:lncRNA from 1 species